CUACGGGAGGCAGCAGUGGGGAAUCUUGCGCAAUGGGCGAAAGCCUGACGCAGCAACGCCGCGUGCGGGAUGAAGGCCUUAGGGUUGUAAACCGCUUUCAGCAGGGACGAAAGUGACGGUACCUGCAGAAGAAGCCCCGGCCAACUACGUGCCAGCAGCCGCGGUAACACGUAGGGGGCGAGCGUUGUCCGGAUUUAUUGGGCGUAAAGAGCUCGUAGGCGGCUCACUAAGUCAGGUGUGAAACCUCCAGGCUCAACCUGGAGACGCCACCUGAUACUGGUGUGGCUAGAGUCCGGUAGGGGAGCAUGGAAUUCCUGGUGUAGCGGUGGAAUGCGCAGAUAUCAGGAGGAACACCAGUGGCGAAGGCGGUGCUCUGGGCCGGAACUGACGCUGAGGAGCGAAAGCGUGGGGAGCAAACAGGAUUAGAUACCCCGGUAGU
rnacentral:rRNA from 1 species